CCAGAAAACAGACCAGUCAAGAGGAUAAACAACUCAGUAAGCUGAAAGGGAGAGUGGCAAGGAAGGACCUAAGGCAGAGGAGGACAGAAAACACUACUGGGGUUUAAAGAAGAGCAAAUCUGAGAUGUGAAUCCACAAGGCUCUGUGAAUGUGGAAUCCAGCAAAUCCAUCUGAAAAAGCCAUUCUUGAAGUUGCUGCUCUUAGACUUCAGCCUUCAUUUACCCAAGGCAAGACUAAAAUCAGCUGAUUCCCCAGAGUUCAGAAGACAAACAGCAUCUUGGGAGCGAGAGAAUAAACAGCUCUGGGAAUGCUGAAUAAUUGAAACAAGUUACAUCUGCACUGAUUUCUCCCUACCCCUCCUUUUUUUCCCUUCCGAAUUCUCUGCUGUUGUAAAGAUUCUCUCCCUCCCUACCUUCCCAGUUAAAAACUGCAUAUCUUAGACAGAGAAAUAAAUCCAGGCAAUAGUAGAAUAUACAAUUCAGAGACAUCUUUAUGUUAGCUGAUGAAAAUCAUGAAAAUAACUUGUACUAAUGUAGAUUAUUUGGAUUUCACUUGUAUUCAUUUUUGGUCACAUGAAUAACAGAUGGGGUGGCUGAAAAUCAGCAGACUAUUAUUACAUCAUAUCAGCUCCAUCUAGCAUAGCAGGCUAUACUAUUAAGAAGUCAAGUCAGCCUCCCUUCACCACUGAAAAAGCCUUCACUGCUGUUUCAGAGAGGAUCUCCUUAUGGGAGAAGUCCUACAAAAUGUAUUAGGGAUGAGGCCUAUAGUUUAAAAAC